UAGCUAGUUGGAGGGGUAACGGCCCACCAAGGCGACGAUCAGUAGCCGGUCUGAGAGGAUGAACGGCCACAUUGGGACUGAGAUACGGCCCAGACUCCUACGGGAGGCAGCAGUGGGGAAUAUUGGGCAAUGGGGGAAACCCUGACCCAGCAACGCCGCGUGAAGGAAGAAGGCUUUCGGGUUGUAAACUUCUUUUACCAGGGACGAAGAAAGUGACGGUACCUGGAGAAAAAGCCACGGCUAACUACGUGCCAGCAACCGCGGUAAUACGUAGGUGGCAAGCGUUGUCCGGAUUUACUGGGUGUAAAGGGCGUGUAGGCGGAGAUUCAAGUCAGGAGUGAAAACUAUGGGCUUAACCCAUAAACUGCUUUUGAAACUGAAUCCCUUGAGUAUCGGAGAGGCAGGCGGAAUUCCUAGUGUAGCGGUGAAAUGCGUAGAUAUUAGGAGGAACACCAGUGGCGAAGGCGGCCUGCUGGACGACAACUGACGCUGAGGCGCGAAAGCGUGGGGAGCAAACAGGAUUAGAUACCAGGGUAGUCC
rnacentral:rRNA from 1 species